CAGCCGCCACGGUAAUACGGAGGAUCCGAGCGUUAUCCGGAUUUAUUGGGUUUAAAGGGUGCGUAGGCGGCCUAUUAAGUCAGGGGUGAAAGACGGUAGCUUAACUAUCGCAGUGCCUUUGAUACUGAUGGGCUUGAAUGUACUUGAAGUGGGCGGAAUGUGACAAGUAGCGGUGAAAUGCAUAGAUAUGUCACAGAACACCGAUUGCGAAGGCAGCUCACUAAAGUAUGAUUGACGCUGAGGCACGAAAGCGUGGGGAUCAAACAGGAUUAGAUACCCCAGUAGUCCCUGUCUCUUAUAC
rnacentral:rRNA from 1 species